rnacentral:rRNA from 1 species
AUGAUAGUUCCCUUGCUCUUUGCCAGAAAAAUUGAUAGUUCUCUUGAUUUGUUCUGGUCUGGAUUAGUACAAAAGUGCACUGAUAUUUGUUUUGUGGUGCGGGAGUUUCAAGACAACAGGUUUAGCAGGGAUCAAUUGCAACCUUCGUUUAUCUUCUGUUAUGUGAACCAAUUUGUGAUGGCUUCUAAAAGCACAUGGCUGGUACAGAGCAAUUUCUACACCAGAGCCGUCGUCUCCGUCGACUUCGCCGCAAGACAAUCUGCCAUCGCCUCCGCCGACUUUGACGUAAGAUCAUCAGCCGUCGCCUGGACGUACUUUGGCGCAGGAACCUGA